rnacentral:tRNA from 1 species
GCCGAUGCAGCUCAAGGGUAGAGCAAAUGAUCUGUAAUCAAUAGGUUGGGGGUUCGUUUCCCUUCUUCGGCUCCA